AAAGAGUGCAACUCAGAACCAGUUGAGCACGUGGUUUUCUCGUCUGAUAUUGUCGAAUGAUCUGAAUUGUCGUGAUCUGGGACUGUGCAGGGAGAUCCCUUACCCGUGAACUUUAAGGUCGUCCCUGAAGCUCCCAUUUCAAUUGGUACUUGAUGCUCUUGACGUAUUUUAUCAUUUUUUGGUUUAGCAUCAGAAGGCAUCGAAUUCUUAAGAAAGGAAUCAUCUGAACUAGUUAAAUCCACGAAGUCCACGAAUCUCGAUGCAACAUUCGCGUCCGAAAUAUCAUGAGACCGAUGUUCUGGGCUUGGAAUUUGCUCAAAUCGGUCAACUUUUAUGAGCUCCAGCUUCUUAGACAUUUUUUGGAGCCUGAAACUUACUCCCAUUGUCUCUACAUUUGAAACCAUGCUCACCUCUUCCAUCAUGUUCUCCCUCACAGAAACAGAGUGAGGACCAUUCUGUGGAUCAGGAGGCUGCUUUUUUAUUUGAAGUUCUGGAGCAUAUUCCUCACUCAUGGGAGCUAUGGAACCGACGCUGUCCAGCAGGCAUGCAAGGUCGUUGAGAACCUCAGGAUCAUUAGGCUUCUGAUUUCUGACUAUAGGUAUAGAACAAGGCUCCACAUCGUGCGAAUCCGGAAAUUCAGAAAAGUUCCACAUUUCACAGCCGUUAGAAGAACGUAUCUGAGAAAUCGUUUUCACAAGCUUGUCAUCUGCUUCCAAGUUGGUCUGGCCUCCCGCAUCUUCGAGCACAAGUAAGGAUUUCUGUAAAUGUUCUUCCUUAGUGGGAAGGAGUGGGUCGGAGAUUGACGCAGAUUCGAAGUCCAUCACCUGUACACGCACAGGAUACAAUGGAGAUAUAUGUGCUUAAAUUCGACCUUGAGUCAGCCUCUAAAUCUAAUCACGCCAAAUCAAAUUGAUUGCAAGCACACUUUCUGAACUAGAGAUUAAUUCGGCAAUCGAGGGUGAUUUGUAAUGUAGAUCCUCGAAAGGACUCUCAUGAGCAUAAAUAGAUUCCAUUAGAACAAUCAGUAAUUACUCCACAAGCAACUGAUAAAUACGCAUGCACGAGUGCAUCGAGAACUCCAGAAAUAAACUGCAUUUCUUGCAUCGUUUCCUGGUCAGGUUGUGGAAAAACAGCAUGUAGUUUUUGAUUGAAAGUCUGGGGUAAACCUUCAGUUUCGUAAAAUCAUCCGCUGCUUUGUCCACAGGCGAGGUUAAGUUUAUCAAGGUCUUAUUAAUUUGUUCUUUUGUUUUGCAGGGUAGUUCUUCCACGUCGAGCUUGAUCUCUUGCUCUAGUCGACACUCGCUUCCUGAAUCAUUCGUGGAGGUAUCGUUUUCAAACCAGGCACAUGUUUCCACAGGUCGAAUUGGACCGUCACCGAAACCACAAACGCAACAUGCUAGUGGU
rnacentral:lncRNA from 1 species